ACGGGGCGCAGCAGGCGCGAAACCUCCGCAAUACACGAAAGUGUGACGGGGUUACCCAAAGUGUUCAAUUUGAACUGUGGUAGGUGAGUAAUGUUCCCUACUAGAAAGGAGAGGGCAAGGCUGGUGCCAGCCGCCGCGGUAAAACCAGCUCUUCAAGUGGUCGGGAUAAUUAUUGGGCUUAAAGUGUCCGUAGCCGGUUUAGUACGUUCCUGGUAAAAUCGGGUAGCUUAACUAUCUAUAUGCUAGGAAUACUACUAUACUAGAGGGCGGGAGAGGUCUGAGGUACUACAGGGGUAGGGGUGAAAUCUUAUAAUCCUUGUUGGACCACCAGUGGCGAAGGCGUCAGACUGGAACGCGCCUGACGGUGAGGGACGAAAGCCAGGGGAGCGAACCGGAUUAGAUACCCGGGUAGUCCUGGCCGUAAACGAUGCAUACUAGGUGAUGGCACGGCCAUGAGCCGUGUCAGUGCCGUAGGGAAACCGUUAAGUGUGCCGCCUGGGAAGUACGGUCGCAAGGCUAAAACUUAAAGGAAUUGGCGGGGGAGCACCACAAGGGGUUGAAGCCUGCGGUUCAAUUGGACUUCAACGCCGGAAAACUUACCAGGGGAGACAGCAGUAUGACGGUCAGGUUGACGACCUUACCUAACGAGCUGAGAGGAGGUGCAUGGCCGUCGCCAGUUCGUGCCCGUGAGGUAUCCUGUUAAGUCCAGGCAACGAACGAGAUCCGCACCUUUAUUUGCCACCAAGAAGUCACGACUUCGUUGGGAACACUAAAGGGACCGCCGUCGAUAAGACGGAGGAAGGAGCGGGCAAAGGCAGGUCAGUAUGCCCCGAAACCCCUGGGAUACACGCGGGCUGCAAUGGUAUGAACAAUGGGCUGUGACUCCGAAAGGAGAAACCAAUCCCGAAAUCAUAUCUCAGUUGGAAUUGUCGGCUGUAACCCGCCGACAUGAACGCGGAAUCCCUAGUAAUCGUGUGUCAUCAACGCACGGUGAAUACGUCUUUGCUCCUUGCACACACCGCCCGUCGCUCCAUCCGAGUGUGCUAAAAAUGAGGUUUGGUCAGUUUGGUCAUAUCGAUUUCUAGUAUGCGAGGAG
rnacentral:rRNA from 2 species